rfam:Gossypium raimondii chromosome 1, whole genome shotgun sequence.
AAUCCAUGAUGUGGACAUCUUUGGAUUAGAAUUUUAAAACACUUCCAAGCUUUGUGAAAGCUCUCUUCUUAUAACUGUUUAAAUGUCGCAAUCUCCUUCCUUAAUU